rnacentral:rRNA from 1 species
UACGUAGGGGGCAAGCGUUGUCCGGAAUUACUGGGCGUAAAGCGCACGUAGGCGGCUUUGUAAGUUAGAGGUGAAAGCCCAGGGCUCAACCCUGGAAUUGCCUUUAAGACUGCAUCGCUUGAACAUCGGAGAGGUAAGUGGAAUUCCGAGUGUAGAGGUGAAAUUCGUAGAUAUUCGGAGGAACACCAGUGGCGAAGGCGACUUACUGGACGAUUGUUGACGCUGAGGUGCGAAAGCGUGGGGAGCAAACAGG